CUACGUGCCAGCAGCCGCGGUAAUACGGAAGGUUCGGGCGUUAUCCGGAUUUAUUGGGUUUAAAGGGAGCGUAGGCCGGAGAUUAAGUGUGUUGUGAAAUGUAGACGCUCAACGUCUGACUUGCAGCGCGAACUGGUUCACUUGAGUAUGCACAACGUAGGCGGAAUUCGUCGUGUAGCGGUGAAAUGCUUAGAUAUGACGAAGAACUCCGAUUGCGAAGGCAGCUUACGGGAGCACAACUGACGCUGAAGCUCGAAGGUGCGGGUAUCAAACAGGAUUAGAUACCCUGGUAGUCCGCACAGUAAACGAUGGAUGCCCGUUGUUAGUUCACUUAAGAAUUAGCGACCAAGCGAAAGCAUUAAGCAUCCCACCUGGGGAGUACGCCGGCAACGGUGAAACUCAAAGGAAUUGACGGGGGCCCGCACAAGCGGAGGAACAUGUGGUUUAAUUCGAUGAUACGCGAGGAACCUUACCCGGGCUUGAA
rnacentral:rRNA from 1 species